AGCAGCCGCGGUAAUUCCAGCUCCAAUAGCGUAUAUUAAAGUUGUUGCAGUUAAAAGCUCGUAGUUGAAUUUCGGGAUCAAUACGUCGGUCGUGCUUCGGUACGUACUGGCGUAAUUGAUUUCUCCCUUCUGACGAACCAUGAUGUCAUUAACUUGGUGUCAUGGGAAAUCAGGACUGUUACUUUGAAAAAAUUAGAGUGUUUAAAGCAGGCUCACGCUUGAAUACAUUAGCAUGGAAUAAUGAAAUAGGACGUUCGAUCCUAUUUUGUUGGUUUUUAGGAUCAACGUAAUGAUUAAUAGGGAUAGUUGGGGGCAUUAGUAUUCAAUUGUCAGAGGUGAAAUUCUUGGAUUUAUUGAAGACUAACUACUGCGAAAGCAUUUGCCAAGGAUGUUUUCAUUAAUCAAGAACGAAAGUUAGGGGAUCGAAGACGAUCAGAUACCGUCGUAGUCUUAACCAUAAACUAUGCCGACAGGGAUCGGAUGAUGUUAUUUUUUAAUGCUCAUUCGGCGCCUACGGGAA
rnacentral:rRNA from 1 species